UUUCAGCCACCUAAAAACAAGUAUAUAAACUACAAGGACUAUCAGGAAAACAAGAAGAAACAGAAGAUGGAGGAGAAGGAGAAACGAGAAAUGGACAGAAAACUGGGUUAUAAGAUACCUAAAGCAAACAGAGGAAAGAAAAGACCACGUGACCGGAAUGAUAUUGGACAUCUGGAUGGUCAAGUUGGAAUGUGGAAAUCUGGCGUUCAAGUUGUAAAGAAGGACGAUCUAAAAGGAUUCAAGAAAUCUAAACUAAAAUAAUUCAUAAAAUCUGAUAUUUAGGAUCAACAUUUAGUGAAAUAAAAUUUAUUAAAUCAG